rnacentral:tRNA from 1 species
GGAAUAGUAGCUCAGAGGUAAGAGCACUGGCUACUCUUCCAGAGGUCCUGAGUUCGAUUCCCAGCAACCA